GAUGAACGCUGGCGGCGUGCCUAAUACAUGCAAGUCGAGCGAACGGACGAGAAGCUUGCUUCUCUGAUGUUAGCGGCGGACGGGUGAGUAACACGUGGAUAACCUACCUAUAAGACUGGGAUAACUUCGGGAAACCGGAGCUAAUACCGGAUAAUAUUUUGAACCGCAUGGUUCAAAAGUGAAAGACGGUCUUGCUGUCACUUAUAGAUGGAUCCACGCUGCAUUAGCUAGUUGGUAAGGUAACGGCUUACCAAGGCAACGAUGCAUAGCCGACCUGAGAGGGUGAUCGGCCACACUGGAACUGAGACACGGUCCAGACUCCUACGGGAGGCAGCAGUAGGGAAUCUUCCGCAAUGGGCGAAAGCCUGACGGAGCAACGCCGCGUGAGUGAUGAAGGUCUUCGGAUCGUAAAACUCUGUUAUUAGGGAAGAACAUAUGUGUAAGUAACUGUGAACAUCUUGACGGUACCUAAUCAGAAAGCCACGGCUAACUACGUG
rnacentral:rRNA from 1 species